UUAGUACUCCCUCCGUCCGGAAAUACUUGUCAUCAAAAUGGAUAAAAGGAGAUGUAUCUAGAUGUAUUUUAGUUCUAGAUACAUCCUUUUUUAUUCAUUUUGAUGACAAGUAUUUUCGGACAGAGGGAGUACAUA
rnacentral:pre_miRNA from 1 species